rnacentral:rRNA from 1 species
CUGAACUUAAGCAUAUCAAUAAGCGGAGGAAAAGAAACUAACAAGGAUUCCCCUAGUAACUGCGAGUGAAGCGGGAAAAGCUCAAAUUUAAAAUCUGGCGGUCUUUGGCCGUCCGAGUUGUAGUCUGGAGAAGCGUCUUCCGCGUUGGACCGUGUACAAGUCUCUUGGAACAGAGCGUCAUAGAGGGUGAGAAUCCCGUCUUUGACACGGACUACCAAUGCUUUGUGAUGCGCUCUCAAAGAGUCGCGUUGUUUGGGAAUGCAGCGCAAAAUGGGAGGUGAAUUCCUUCUAAAGCUAAAUAUUGGCGAGAGACCGAUAGCGAACAAGUACCGUGAGGGAAAGAUGAAAAGCACUUUGGAAAGAGAGUUAAACAGUACGUGAAAUUGCUAAAAGGGAAACGCUUGAAGUCAGUCGCGUCGUCCGGAACUCAGCUUUGCUUCGGCUUAGUGCACUUUCCGGUUGACGGGCCAGCAUCGAUUUUGACCGCUGGAAAAGGGUUGGAGGAAUGUGGCACCUUCGGGUGUGUUAUAGCCUUCAGUCGCAUACAGCGGUUGGGAUCGAGGAACGCAGCGCGCCUUAUGGCUGGGGUUCGCCCACAUUCGCGCUUAGGAUGCUGGCAUAAUGGCUUUAAACGACCCGUCUUGAAACACGGACCAAGGAGUCUAACAUGCCUGCGAGUGUUUGGGUGGAAAACCCGAGCGCGUAAUGAAAGUGAAAGUUGAGACCUCUGUCGUGGAGGGCAUCGACGCCCGGACCUGACGUUUUCUGAAGGAUCCGCGGUAGAGCAUGUAUGUUGGGACCCGAAAGAUGGUGAACUAUGCCUGAAUAGGGUGAAGCCAGAGG